GAGUUUGAUCGUGGCUCAGAUUGAACGCUGGCGGCAUGCCUUACACAUGCAAGUCGAACGGCAGCAUGAUCUAGCUUGCUAGAUUGAUGGCGAGUGGCGAACGGGUGAGUAAUACAUCGGAACGUGCCCUGUAGUGGGGGAUAACUAGUCGAAAGAUUAGCUAAUACCGCAUACGACCUGAGGGUGAAAGUGGGGGACCGCAAGGCCUCAUGCUAUAGGAGCGGCCGAUGUCUGAUUAGCUAGUUGGUGGGGUAAAGGCCCACCAAGGCGACGAUCAGUAGCUGGUCUGAGAGGACGAUCAGCCACACUGGGACUGAGACACGGCCCAGACUCCUACGGGAGGCAGCAGUGGGGAAUUUUGGACAAUGGGGGCAACCCUGAUCCAGCAAUGCCGCGUGUGUGAAGAAGGCCUUCGGGUUGUAAGCGACUUUGUUCCGGUAAGAAAUACGCACUACUAAUAUUAGGUGUGGUA
rnacentral:rRNA from 1 species